rnacentral:tRNA from 1 species
GAGGGUAUAGCUCAAAUGGUAGAGUGCAUGUUUAGCAUGCAUGAGGUCCUGGGUUCAAUUCCCAGUGCCUCCU